rnacentral:rRNA from 1 species
AGAGUUUGAUCCUGGCUCAGAACGAACGCUGGCGGCAUGCCUCAUACAUGCAAGUCGAACGCAAGGCUUCGGCCUUGAGUGGCGCACGGGUGAGUAACGCGUGGGAACCUACCCUUCUGUGGGGGAUAACCGAGGGAAACUUCGGCUAAUACCGCAUACGCCGGGAAACCGGGAAAGAUUUAUCGCUGAAGGAUGGGCCCGCGUCGGAUUAGCUGGUUGGUGGGGUAAUGGCCUACCAAGGCUUUGAUCCGUAGCUGGUCUGAGAGGAUGAUCAGCCACACUGGGACUGAGACACGGCCCAGACUCCUACGGGAGGCAGCAGUAGGGAAUAUUGGACAAUGGGCGAAAGCCUGAUCCAGCAAUGCCGCGUGAGUGAGGAAGGCCUUAGGGUUGUAAAGCUC